rnacentral:rRNA from 1 species
UACGGAGGUUGCAAGCGUUGUUCGGAAUCACUGGGCGUAAAGCGCGUGUAGGCGGCCUCCUCAGUCUGGUGUGAAAGCCCGGGGCUCAACCCCGGAAGUGCAUUGGAUACUGGGAGGCCGGAGUACCGGAGAGGAGGGUGGAAUUCCUGGUGUAGCGGUGAAAUGCGUAGAUAUCAGGAGGAACACCGGUGGCGAAGGCGGCCCUCUGGACGGAUACUGACGCUGAGACGCGAAAGCGUGGGGAGCAAACAGG